rnacentral:tRNA from 1 species
GGCUCCAUAGUGUAGUGGUUAGCACAUCUGCUUUGCAUGCAGAAGGUCCUGGGUUUCGUCCCAGGUGGAGCCA